rnacentral:rRNA from 1 species
CUCCCCAAGGACGAAGCCAUGCAUGCCCGCUCACCCGGGACGCGGCGGACGGCUCAGGACAACGGUUGCACCCCCCGCGGCGGUCCCUGCUAGCCGGACACCGCUGGCAACCCGGCGCCAAGACGUGCGCGCAAGGGCGGCCGCCCGCGGGCGAGCAGCGUGACGCAGCGACGGCCCGCCCGGGCUUCCGGGGCAUCACCCGGUCUACGCGGUCGCGGCGCGCCGAGGGCCCGA